rnacentral:rRNA from 1 species
AUAGGGCGACUUUGUUGUUUGGAUUAGACCCGAAACCGGGUGAGCUACCCAUGGCCAGGUUGAAGCCAAGAUAAUAUCUUGGUGAAGGACCGAACCCGUGUAAAGUGCAAAUUGCUGGGAUGAGUUGUGGGUAGAGGUAAAAUGCCAAUCGAACCCGGAGAUAGCUGGUUCUCUCCGAAAUGUAUUUAGGUACAGCGUUAAAUUAGUCUUAGGGAGGUAGAGCACUGGAUGGAUAAGGGGGCGUAAGCCUACCAAGUUCAACCAAACUCCGAAUGCCUUAAGAUGAUGUUUAGCAGUGAGACCGUGGGGGAUAAGCUCCAUUGUCAAAAGGGAAACAGCCCAGAUCACAAGCUAAGGUCCCUAAGUCUGAACUAAGUGGGAAAGGAAGUUAGAAUCCACAAACAGCCAGGAGGUUGGCUUAGAAGCAGCCACCCUUUAAAGAAAGCGUAAUAGCUCACUGGUCGAGGUUUUUAGCGCCUAAAAUGUAACGGGGCUAAAGUUCAGCACCGAAGCUGUGAGUUUUCUAUUUUAAUAGAAAGCGGUAGGAGAGCGUUGUCAGUGCACUGAAGCUAAAAUGUGAGUUUUGGUGGAGCGCUGAGAAGUGAGAAUGCAGGCAUGAGUAGCGACAAUCGUGGUGAGAAUCCACGACACCGGAAGCCCAAGGUUUCCUACGCAAUGUUGAUCAUCGUAGGGUUAGUCGGGCCUAAGUGAAAGCGUACAGCGAACACGAUGGAUAACGGGUCAAAAUUCCCGUACCAUUUGUAUUGUGUUUUAACGCAAAGGGGGGACGCAAGAAGGUAAGUAAAGCAUACCUAAUGGACAUGGUGUGUUUGUUUUUGUAGAUGAUGACCAGAUAGGUAAAUCCGUCUGGUAUUUUAGUUGAGGAAAACAAAAACUCGAGAGCUUAGCUCAAAGGAAUUUUGCUGAUCCUAUGUUGCCAAGAAAAUCCUCGUUGUAAAUAAUAUAAAUGACCGUACCGCAAACCGACACAGGUAGGCAGGGAUAAAAGUCCCAAGGUGAACGAAAGAACCUUCGUUAAGGAACUCGACAGAUUGACCCCGUAACUUAGGGAGAAGGGGUGCCUAUUAUUUGAUACUGAUUUACUUAGUAAAGGGUAAUAGGCCGCAGUGAAUCGGUCCAAGCGACUGUUUAUCAAAAACAUAGGUCUAUGCUAAACCGAAAGGUGAUGUAUAUGGGCUGACGCCUGCCCAGUGCCGGAAGGUUAAGAGGAGAGGUUAGGANUNAUCCAAAGCUUUGAAUUGAAAGCCCCCGCGGUGAACGGCGGCCGUAACUAUAACGGUCCUAAGGUAGCGAAAUCCCUUGUCAGGUAAGUUCUGACCCGCACGAAUGGCGUAACGACUUGGACAUUGUCUCAACGAAGGACUCGGUGAAAUUGCAGGACCAGUGAAGAUGCUGGUUACCUACGACAGGACAAAAAGACCCCGUGGAGCUUUACUGCAGCUUGGCAGUGAUUUAG